UCUGGUGGGGCCUGAUCACCCUCACUAGAAAGGCUAGAGACAUCAAAUCACAUGCCUGUCACACCCUGAUCUGUUUCACCUGUCUUUGUGCUUGUCUCCACCCCCCUCCAGGUGUCGUCCAUCUUCCCCAUUAUCCCUGGUGCAUUUAUACCUGUGUUCUCUGUUUCUGUUGCCAGUUUGUCUUGUCAAACCUACUAGCGUGUUUUCCCACACUCCUGUUUCUUGUUAGUUCUAUUUUCUAGUUCUCUAGUACCACAACGGUAACCUCCCAGCCCCUCAGUAAUCUGGCUGUCAGCAACGCGUCUCUCCCUGCCACCCCGGCUUCCCAAGAAUCCUGCUUACCUCCAACGGAACGCUUCGCUGGAGAGUCGGGAACCUGUCUGCUGUUUCUCGCUCAGGGUUCCCUCAUCUUCGAGCUGCAGCCCUCCUCCUUCCCCUUGGACUGCUCGAUGAUGGCGUGCCGACUAAAAGACCAGGCUCACCAGCAUGGGCGAGUACUCUGGUUCCCGUGGUGUUGGGAUUCUUUUGGCUUCAGCGACACAGAUGAGUGGUGGUGGAUUGGCCCCAACCUACGUCCGGAGUGCAGCUGCAACUCUUCCUGGGUUUAAAAAUAAAUAAAUGCCGCUUAAUCCGGGGUUACAGCACCCUGGCUUCCCCCCUGUCUGUACUCACCUCUCCCAAGGUUCGUUCACGUGGUCCCCAGCUGCUGACCGAGCGUUCUGGGACCUCAAGCACCAUUUCACCACAGAUCCCAUAUUAGUUCAUCCUGACCCAUCCUAUCAGUUCGUGGUGGAGGCCGACUCUUCAGAUGUCGGAGUGGGGGCUGUUCUGUUCCAGCGUUAUGCCCUGGACCUCAAGCUGCAUCCCUGCGCUGACUUCUCCCAUCUUUUUAACGCCACAGAGAGGAAUUACGAUGUGGGGAAUUGUCAGAUUCUCACGGUGAAGAUGGCAAUGGAGGAGUGGAGGCACUGGUUGGAGGGGGCGGAAUAUCCUUUUAUUGUGUGGACUGAUCACCAUAACCUGGAAUAUCUCCGCACCGCCAAGCGUCUCAAUUCCAGGCAAGCUAGGUGGGUUUAACUUCUCCCUUUCCUACCACCCGGGAUCCAAGAAUGUCAAACCGGAUGCACUUUCAUGCCGCUAUAGCCCCGUGGCUACUGCCUUGGACCCCGAGACUAUCCUGGCGGCACUCAGCUGGGGAAUAGAGAAUCAGGUCUGUGAGGUGCAGCAUUCCCAACCAGACCCCGGGGGGAGGGGGCAGAUAACCGGAUGUUUGUUCCUGACGCUUUUCCGCCCCUCGGUCCUGGAGUGGGCACACUCCUUCAGGCUUGUGUGCCACCCGGGCUCUCGUUGGACCUGGCCUGUUGUGCACCAACUCUUUUGGUGGCCUACCAUGGUCCUUGACGUCUUCGCGUUUGUUGCCGCCUGCAUGAAUAAAACUCCUCUGCAAGCUCUGGCUGGUCUCCUUCCAUCGAUUCCUGUUCCUUGUCGUCCCUGGUCAUACAUAUCCCUGGACUUUGUCACUGGUCUUCCCACAUCUGAUGGAAACACCGUCAUCCUUACAGUAGUGAACUCAUCACCGAGUUCCACUGCCUGCACCCCGGUCAAUCAAGUAUGAGCCCAGGACCUAAGCCCUAGGACCAUGCCUCAGGACUACCUGACAUGAUGACUCCUUGCUGUCCCCAGUCCACCUGGCUGUGCUGCUGCUCCAGUUUCAACUGUUCUGCCUGUGAUAAUUAUUAUUUGAACAUGCUGGUCAUUUAUGAACAUCUUGGCCAUGUUCUGUUAUAACCUCCACCCGGCACAGCCAGAAGAGUACUGGCCACCCUACAUAGCCUGGUUCCUCUCUAGGUUUCUUCCUAGGUUUUGGCCUUUCUAGGGAGUUUUUCCUAGCCACCGUGCUUCUACACCUGCAUUGUUUGCUGUUUGGGGUUUUAGGCUGGGUUUCUGUACAGCACUUUGAGAUAUCAGCUGAUGUACGAAGGGCUCUAUAAAUAAAUUUGAUUUGAAUCAUCAAA
ensembl:lncRNA